rnacentral:rRNA from 1 species
AGAGUUUGAUCAUGGCUCAGAACGAACGCUGGCGGCAGGCCUAACACAUGCAAGUCGAACGAGAAGCCACCUUCGGGUGGUGGACAGUGGCAGACGGGUGAGUAACGCGUGGGAACGUGCCUUUCGGUUCGGGAUAACCCAGGGAAACUUGGGCUAAUACCGGAUACGCCCUUCGGGGGAAAGAUUCAUUGCCGAAAGAUCGGCCCGCGUCGGAUUAGCUUGUUGGUGGGGUAAUGGCCUACCAAGGCGACGAUCCGUAGCUGGUCUGAGAGGAUGACCAGCCACACUGGGACUGAGACACGGCCCAGACUCCUACGGGAGGCAGCAGUGGGGAAUAUUGGACAAUGGGCGCAAGCCUGAUCCAGCCAUGCCGCGUGGGUGAAGAAGGCCUUAGGGUUGUAAACCCCUUUCAGCGGGGAAGAUAAUGACGGUACCCGCAGAAGAAGCCCCGGCUAACUCCGUGCCAGCAGCCGCGGUAAUACGGAGGGGGCUAGCGUUGUUCGGAAUUACUGGGCGUAAAGCGCGCGUAGGCGGACCUGCAAGUCAGGGGUGAAAUCCCGAGGCUCAACCUCGGAACCGCCUUUGAUACUGCGGGUCUCGAGUCCGGGAGAGGUGAGUGGAAUUCCUAGUGUAGAGGUGAAAUUCGUAGAUAUUAGGAAGAACACCAGUGGCGAAGGCGGCUCACUGGCCCGGUACUGACGCUGAGGCGCGAAAGCGUGGGGAGCAAACAGGAUUAGAUACCCUAGUAGUCC